GUGGAUUAGAUACCCUAGUAGUCCUAGCCGUAAACGGUGCAUGUUUGCUGUAAAAGGAAUCGACCCCUUUUGUGGCGGAGCUAACGCGUUAAACAUGCCGCCUGGGAAGUACGGUCGCAAGAUUAAAACUCAAAGAAAUUGACGGGGGCCUGCACAAGCGGUGGAGUAUGUGGCUCAAUUCGAUGCAACGCGAAGAACCUUACCUGGCCUUGACAUGUACGUAGUAGAAGGGUGAAAGCCUGACGAGGUAGCAAUACCAGCGUACACAGGUGCUGCAUGGCUGUCGCCUGCU
rnacentral:rRNA from 1 species